rnacentral:rRNA from 1 species
UCCCCAAUAGGCAAAGUUCUCGCGGAGCAAGCCGGUGUGAGAAGUACUUUUCGCAUCUAAAACUUUGUUGUUAGAGAAGGAACAAAUAUCCGUUCGAAUAUGUGGGGGCGCCUUGACGGUACCUAAACAGAAAGGCACGGCUUAAAUAUCGUGCCAGCAGCCGCGGUAAUAUGUAGGGUGCAAGCGUUUGUCCCGGAAAUUAUUGGGCGUAAAGCGCGCGGCAGGUGGUUUCUUAAGUCUGAUGUGAAAGCUCACGGCUCAACCCGUGGAGGGUCAUUGGAAACUGGGGAACUUGAGUGCAGAAGAGGAAAGUGGAAAUUCCAAGUGUAGCGGUGAAAUGCGUAGAUAUUUGGAGGAACACCAGUGGCGAAGGCGACUUUUCUGGUCCUGUAACUGACACUGAGGCGCGAAAGCGUGGGGAGCAAACAGGAUUAGAUACCCUGGUAGUCCACGCCGUAAACGAUGAGUGCUAAGUGUUAGAGGGUUUCCGCCCUUUAGUGCUGCAGCUAACGCAUUAAGCACUCCGCCUGGGGAGUACGGUCGCAAGACUGAAACUCAAAGGAAUUGACGGGGGCCCGCACAAGCGGUGGAGCAUGUGGUUUAAUUAGAAGCAACGCGAAGAACCUUACCAGGUCUUGACAUCCUCUGACAACCCUAGAGAUAGGGCUUUCCCCUUCGGGGGACAGAGUGACAGGUGGUGCAUGGUUGUCGUCAGCUCGUGUCGUGAGAUGUUGGGUUAAGUCCCGCAACGA